CUCCUCACUGACGAAGAAGUUAUCAGCUACAUCAUGACUGGUCUCGUUCCGGAGUUUGAUCCUUUAAUGGCCUCCCUCAUCGUGUACAAUGGGUCGGUGAGUUUGACCGAGUUAUAUGCCUUUCUUCUCAGUUUUGAAG